rnacentral:rRNA from 1 species
AGCCGCCGCGGGAAUACAGAGGGUGCGAGCGUUAAUCGGAUUUACUGGGCGUAAAGCGUGCGUAGGCGGCUUUUUAAGUCGGAUGUGAAAUCCCUGAGCUUAACUUAGGAAUUGCAUUCGAUACUGGGAAGCUAGAGUAUGGGAGAGGAUGGUAGAAUUACAGGUGUAGCGGUGAAAUGCGUAGAGAUCUGGAGGAAUACCGAUGGCGAAGGCAGCCAUCUGGCCUAAUACUGACGCUGAGGUACGAAAGCAUGGGGAGCAAACAGGAUUAGAUACCCCUGUAGUCCCUGUCUCUUAUACA